rnacentral:rRNA from 1 species
UCGAGGAUCUUCGGCAAUGGGCGCAAGCCUGACCGAGCGACGCCGCGUGUGCGAUGAAGGCCUUCGGGUUGUAAAGCACUGUCGAGGGGGAGAAAAGGAAACUUGAUCGACCCCUGGAGGAAGCACGGGCUAAGUUCGUGCCAGCAGCCGCGGUAAGACGAACCGUGCGAACGUUGUUCGGAAUCACUGGGCUUAAAGGGCGCGUAGGCGGGCGAUCAAGUCAGAGGUGAAAUCCCACGGCUCAACCGUGGAAGUGCCCCUGAUACUGGUUGUCUCGAGGGAGAUAGGGGCGUGCGGAACUUUUGGUGGAGCGGUGAAAUGCGUAGAUAUCAAAAGGAACACCGGUGGCGAAAGCGGCGCGCUGGAUCUCUACUGACGCUGAGGCGCGAAAGCCAGGGGAGCAAACGGGAUUAGAUACCCCUGUAGUCC